GCCGGGCGCGGUGGCGCGCGCCUGUAGUCCUAGCUACUUGGGAGGCUGACGCAGUAGGAUUGCUUGAGUCCAGGAGUUCUGGGCUGCAGUGCGCUAUGUCGAUCGGGUGUUCGCACUAAGUUCGGCAUCAAUAUGGUGACCUCCCGGGAGCAGGGGACCACCAGGUUGCCUAAGGAGGGGUGAACCGGCCCAGGUCGGAAACUUGACUUUGUUGAAGGCACAAUUAUUUUGGCCUUUGUUAUAGUAGCAAAGUCUACUGACUACAACCCCUAUGGUUCCUCCUUCCCUCAGCUUUGUGUAUUUGGCUAACUACUCA
rnacentral:sRNA from 1 species